rnacentral:rRNA from 1 species
AUUGAACGCUGGCGGCAGGCUUAACACAUGCAAGUCGAGCGGGGUGAUGGUGCUUGCACUAUCACUUAGCGGCGGACGGGUGAGCAAUGCUUAGGAAUCUGCCUAUUAGUGGGGGACAACAUCUCGAAAGGGAUGCUAAUACCGCAUAAGUCCAACGGGCGAAAGCAGGGGAUCACUUGUGACCUUGCGCUAAUAGAUGAGCCUAAGUCGGAUUAGCUAGUGUGUGGGGUAAAGGUCUACCAAGGCGACGAUCUGUAGCGGGUGUGAGAGGAUGAUCCGCCACACUGGGACUGAGACACGGCACAGACUCCUACGGGAGGCAGCAGUGGGGAAUAUUGGACAAUGGGGGGAACCCUGAUCCAGCCAUGCCGUGUGUGUGAAGAAGGCCUUAUGGUUGUAAAGCACUUUAAGCGAGGAGGAGGCUCUUUUGGUUAAUACCCAGAAUGAGUGGACGUUACUCGCAGAAUAAGCACCGGCUAACUCUGUGCCAGCCGCCGCGGUAAGAC